UACGAAGGGGGCGAGCGUUGUUCGGAAUUACUGGGCGUAAAGGGCGCGUAGGCGGCCGAUCAAGUCAGAUGUGAAAGUCCUGGGCUUAACCUGGGGACUGCAUUUGAUACUGAUUGGCUUGAAUGCAGGAGAGGAUAGCGGAAUUCCCAGUGUAGAGGUGAAAUUCGUAGAUAUUGGGAAGAACACCGGUGGCGAAGGCGGCUAUCUGGACUGUGGAUUGACGCUGGAGGCGACGAAAGCGUGGGGAGCAAACAGG
rnacentral:rRNA from 1 species